CUCCGUGGCCGGCAGAUGCAGGCUGAUAACCUGAACCUCAUGGUUCUGCCCCAGUACCCGAACCCUAACCCUUCUUUUUUCAGCCAGAAGUAGGUCUUCCACAUCACCGGUUCGAGAUCUUUCUCCCUGGUUGAAUGGAUAUCAAUGGUGGUGAGCUAGUGGUUGUGACGUGGGGCAUGAAGCCAAUGUACUUGGUGGACCGGCCAGCGAGCUCGCCCUUUCGUCCUCAUGGGGGACGCUGUAGUCCGGGCAACGUCUUCCCGCGCCACUACGUGGUUUCCAGCACUGUCGAGAGAUUUAGGAGGAUGGUCUAUGCGGCCUCCGGAGGCGGAUGAUCUACGUGGCCUCCCGCACUGUCGGGAGAUUGGGGAGGACGGUCGUCCGGCUGAGAGGAGCUGGGGUUGCGGUGGCCAGGAUGUGCGCCUGUAACUCGACCCGUGCCGUCGGCCUCUGAAGUGCUUCUCCCAGGUAUGGCAUCAACACUGUUGAUUUAACAGGGGUUGGUGAUGCGGCUCCGGCACAGGCUGGAUGACCUUGUUUUCCAAGGUGAUUUGCUCCUGUUUUUCUAUCUCUAACCAUCGUGGAUUGGUUUAUUUUUUUGUAAUCAAUUAGUAGAUUCUCAUACAUUACACAUACUUGAAAUACCUGUUGAUUGGGCAGCUGCACAAACUGACUAAUCUAAUGGUUAUUUUUUGUAGAUUGAUCUGUAUUUGGAGGUGGUACAUUUGAUGAGUAUAAGUAUGGUGCAGUACGAGCCAUUUUGAUUAUUUACUCCCGAGUACUGUACAAAUAUGAGAGAUAUUCAUGCAUCUCAUAUUACUGAAGAAUACCUCGAUGAGCAUACUCUAAACCUUGAUGUUCUCUUCAACCCAAGAAUAAAUUUUGAUUCGCUGACUAGACGAGCAAGGUAACCAAGCCGAGGAGAGACCUGUUGAUUUGGACUUGCAGGAGCAUGUCUCAUAUGGCUUCACUAUGGUGCUCACAUUAUCGGGAUUUUCGGAUUUCCUCUUCAUAUGUUAUUCAAUAGUCAAGCUGAUUGAAGUGUACUAUUGCAACUUGUAUGUAUGUGUUCACCAGUGCUGCAGUAGGUAAAUGAAUUUUAAUUGGCAUACACAUUAGAAGAAAUUAGUGUGUUUCACGAUAAAAUAUGCUUUACAAGUGCAUGAGGAAGGACAUUUUCUUUGAACUUACUGUUUGCAAAUUCUCAGAUGGGGAUUUAUUGCGGUUUUGAGUAUAUCAGCCAGUUUUCUGUCGUUUCCUUAGCCUACCAUAUUCAACACAGAGAAUGAAUGCUUAUAUCUACACCGUUAUUUCACACAAAACAAUUUUGAUUGUACAUUGAUUAUUAGUGAGCUAGGCCAGUAUGACCUUUCGUAAACUGCAGGUAUAUAGAGCCAGGGGAGAUAGGGAGGUUGCCAAAGAUGGACCUAGGGCGAGGAGACUCUUUAACUUUCAACGGAGCACAACCAUAUUAAAAGGAUCAAGUGAGCUCACCCUGGGCUGGCUGUAGCAUCACUGUGGACGAACCGAUGAUGGUCCCGUAAAAUACACUGACAUAGUGUUUCAGGACAAACAGUAAGUUAUCGAACUGAGGAGCCACAAUAUCCCAACAAGUCUUAGGAAAACAGCAGUUAAAGCCAUCAGGACCUGGAGCUUUGUCACUAGGUAUUUUCUUGACAACAUUAUCAAUUUCCUCUUCAGAGAAAGGACUAGAUAUAUUUUCAAGGCUAGGAAUAGAAUUGAAUAGAUUGUGUAAUCAAAUUUCAUUUGGUGUAGAUCAGUGACUUCUAAUCU